AAUGCAACGACUUGGAUGCCAACUGCCGUUUAACUCUAAAGAAGAAGAAGAAGAAGAAGAAGGAGCAGCAACAACAACAACAGCAGCAGCAGCAGCGUUCUUUCAACACUGAUUUGUCCAGAUCACAGUUGUUUCAAACACUGUUGGAAAGUGUGCUUCUUUGCCACAGGCUCUUAAGAAGAAUUCGUUGAUGAACCAGCAGGAGGCAGAGAGGGCACUGUCGAAAAGGCUCAUUGGGCAAGGCAAUUCAAGGCAGCUUUAUUUAUAUAGCACAUUUCAGCAACAGGUCAAUUCAAAGUGCUUUACAUAAAACA